rnacentral:tRNA from 1 species
AGCAGCGUGGCUCAGUGGAAAGAGCACGGGCUUGGGAGUCAGAGGUCAUGGGUUCGAAUCCCAGCUUUGCUA